GACUACUAGGGUAUCUAAUCCCGUUUGCUCCCCUGGCUUUCGUGCCUCAGCGUCAGUAAUGGGCCAGCAGGCCGCCUUCGCCACGAGUGUUCUUCCUGAUAUCUACGCAUUCCACCGCUACACCAGGAAUUCCACCUGCCUCUCCCACUCUCGAGCUCGGCAGUUUCCAGUGCAGUUUCCCAGGUAGGCUGGGAGAUUUCACACUAGACUUACCGAACCGCCUACGCACCCUUUACGCCCAGUAAUUCCGAACAACGUUUGCCCCCUCCGUAUUACCGCGGCUGCUGGCACGGAGUUAGCCGGGGCUUCCUCUGCAGGUACCGUCCCUCCCGAAUUCACCAUUCGGGCAUUCUUUCCUGCUGACAGCGGUUUACGAUCUCACGACCUUCAUCCCGCACGCGGCGUCGCUCGGUCAGGGUUUCCCCCAUUGCCGAAGCCUCUCGACUGCAGCCCCCCGUAGG
rnacentral:rRNA from 1 species